UUCCGGUUGAUCCUGCCGGAGGCCAUUGCUAUCGGUGUCCGAUUUAGCCAUGCGAGUUGCACGUAUAACGUAGCGAACGGCUCAGUAACACGUGGCCAAGCUACCCUGUGGACCGCCAUAACCUCGGGAAACUGAGGCUAAUAGCGGAUAUCGCUCCCACGCUGGAACGCCGGGAGCGUGAAAGGCUCCGGCGCCACAGGAUGCGGCUGCGGCCGAUUAGGUAGACGGUGGGGUAACGGCCCACCGUGCCGAUAAUCGGUACGGGUUGUGAGAGCAAGAGCCCGGAGACGGACUCUGAGACAAGAGUCCGGGCCCUACGGGGCGCAGCAGGCGCGAAACCUUUACCCUGCACGACAGUGCGAUAGGGGAC
rnacentral:rRNA from 1 species